rnacentral:lncRNA from 1 species
UAGCAAUACUCUAGGGCUUUUUCUUUUUUCUUUAAAAAAAAAAUUGAAAAUAGAUUUUCUUCACACACACAGUAGAUUCUGAUUAACCUGGAGCUCGCUGACUGGCUUGACAGUCUGCCCAGAAGGCCCUGGGAUCCUCCUGUCUCUGCCUCAUGUCCUUCCCUUUCCCAUCAAGCUUCAGGGUAACAGGAACACAAGCCAUGCCCAGCACUGGGGAUCCCAAGUCAGGUGCUCAGGCUUGCAUAGCAGGUACUUGGCCUACUGAGCCCUAUAAGCAUUUUCAAUGAGCUAAGAGUUAAAUGACAAGGAGUUAGCCAUUCAAGAGCAUGGGUGAAGUCUGUUCUCUGAAGGGGAAGCUAGUGAGAGACACAGUCAGAACAGCGGGAUGGGAUGAGGUCUGACCCUGUAUUUCCCAGCACGGUGGAUUUUAUUAGAACUGCUGGGGAAUUGGGAAUAAAGAGUGUGUUUGGUAUUUCUAGAAGACAAUGACUAUUGUUUCUGACUGGGCUAUAUGGUGGCAGAAAGGAACUGGGAAGGUAUUGUCUCCAGGCAGGGCCUAAUAGGGACCCAGACUGACCUGGUAGCAACGAGGGUGGAAUGAAAUACACAGACCAUAGCUGACAAUUUGAGAUAUUAUCAGCAGGACUUCCGGAAGAGCUAUAAGAGCAGGGUAAGACACAGAAAGGAAACAGGGCUCUUAAGUGAGUACGAUAGCAGAUUUGUCAUUUACAGAUAGAGAUUUGGAAAUAAAAGCUUGGGCUGGUCCUGUUAGACGGAUGACAUUUGAGUUGUCUGUUAGUCAUCUCACUGGUGAUGUGGAGUGGGCUGUUGGAUGUGUACGGCUAAAGCUUUGGAAGGAGGCCAAGGCUUGAGCAAUCAUCUGAUAAGUUCUGACUUCCAGCCUAGCUGCAUGGGUAUCCACAGUGAGCAUCUCCUCGGCUUCCCUAGAGUCGGGCUUUCCCUCUGCCCAGCUCCAGCUGACCAGGAAUCGCAUGCUUGGACAGCCUGAGGAUUCAAGGGACUCAAGCACUGGUAGCAGUGUGUGGUCCUGUUGUCUGCUUUGUUUCAGGCAAGGGAAAAAGCAUGGUUUCCAGGUUUUAUCUCCAGUUUUUAAGCAUGCAAAGGGUCUGCCACCUCCUUUCAUCACACUGCCCCUCCAUGUCCCAGCUCCACAGACAAAUGGAGACAGUUCAGCCUAAUGUGUGCACUGCUAAAGUAAGUCUCCCAAGGGCCAAGUGAACGGGGCACAUUCAGACAAGAACCAGAGUGAGUGCACAUUGAAAACUUGCCUUCUCUGCCUCAAUCCCAGCUCCAGAAACUGGAGUGUGUCCUCCUCCCAGUUUCUUUCAUUCUCAUGAUGGCUUCCAAUUAAGGAGAUUUGUGGGAGGGAUAUAAUGGGUGGAACCUAUUGCUCACCAAAAUGUGAUCUGGUUCUAGUGCAAGCUCACCUACAAAGCGUGCUUCCUAGCUUGGGGACUUAACCUUGGCAACUCAAGGCAGAGUCUACCAUGCCCUCAUACCCACCCUCCAGUGAAGGACUGUGAUGACCAGGCUUAUGUCAACUGACACAUAGCCUAGAGCUAUCUGAAAGGAGGGACCCUUGAUUGAGAAAAAUGCCUCCAUAAGAUCCACCUGUGAGGCAUUUUCUUAAUUAGUGAUUAGGGCCCAGACCGUUGUGGGUAGUGCCACUCCUGGGCUGGUGGUCCUGGAUUCUGUAAGAAAGAAGGUUGAGCAAGGCAAUAAGGGGCACCCUUCUGUGACUUCUGCAUCAGCUCCUGCCUCCAGGUCCCUGACCUGCUUGAGUUCCUGUCCUGACUUCCUUCAGUGAUGAACAGCAAUGUAGAAGUGUAAGCCAGAUAAGCACUCUCUCCCCAACCUGCUUUUUGGUCAUGCUGUUUCAUGGCAGCAAUAGAAACCCUAACUAAGACAGGGACUUAACAUAGUGACAGUGUAAAACCAUCUUAGAGGUUUGUCCCAGCCAGUGAGUGAGACCAUGUCACUGGUAGUCAGAUGCUGUGCUAACUCCUAGAGUGUCUCAGGCCCUACUCUGCCCAUUACAGUUGGGUUUCUCCUUGGUCUGUUUGUUGGAUGAAUUUAAUUCCAAAAAUAGACCAGCACCAUGGCUCAGGAACAAGUUAGUGAUUAAAACGAUACUUCCAUAGACAAGUGGGCAGCUCAGCUCACUGCUGGCUAUUUCAACCCAAAGAUUUUGUCUGCUUCGUGGGUUGUUUGGUUGGUUCUUUUUUUUUUUUUUUUUUUUUUUUUUUUGCUUGUUUGGGCUUUUCGAGACAAGAUCUCCCUGGGUAGUCCCUGCUGACUGCUGCCUCCCAAAUGCAGGGAUUAGACAUGAGCCAUCACACCUGCUUGCCUUGGUUUUUUGUGGCAUCAGAGAAAACAAAGCAGGAAGAAGGCCAGCCAGCUGAAAGAAGCCAUACAGAUUAGUAUGACCUCCAGCAUUGACCUUGGCCUUCAAAUGCAACUAACCACCAACCAAGUGUUAGCUGAGGAGUAAGAUUAAACUGUUCAGCACUGGCCUUUUAGCUGCAAACGAUGUCCACAGUGGCAUGGUGGUGUCUCUCACCAGGGCAAGCACCACGAGCAGAUAUUGUUUGUGCUGAUAAGAACUGUUAAGGUAUGAGCCUCUGCCUCUAUUCUCUCCCCUCUGUUUUUGCUAAGGAUGAUGAAGGAUACGAUAGAAUGGUUAUGAGCACACUCACUAGAACUAGACUACCUCAGACAAAAGCCAGGGCCACUCUUGUACAGCUUACCUUCUACAAAGAUUAUGCUAUGAAUUAUCAUGUGUCACAUUUCAGAUAAUGCUGUGCAGAUAUAGUAAGGGCUCAGGAGACAAGCUGUUAUCAUUGGUUCAGGAUGUGAACCGUGUGUGCAGCAAGCACUGUCCUGGGCACUGCACAUGUGGAUGAAGCUCAGCAGGGAAAAUCAAGGCUGCUCACACCUUCCCUGAUGCUCGCUGCAUACUUAGGGCAUGAGACACCACUACAGAGUGGCUGCCUUGCUCAGUGUAGGGUCAAUGUAACUGACAGAGAAGCAGAAGCCGUACGAGAACCAGAAAGGCAAAGGCACUGUAACUGAGAUCAGCCUUUUGCCUGUUAUGAAUUAGGCCCAAUGUGCAUGAUAAUGUUGCUGAGAUUAAACACCCAGAAAUUGGACCUUAUUCUGGUUAGACAAAAGAAUUAACAUCGAUCAAAGCAGCAGCCCAGGAAAUGUUGUAGAAUUACCAUGCUAACAUCCUGGGCAGCCAACCAUUCAGCAACAUGAUAUACAUCCCCUAAACCCCAGCUUUGCGUGCCAUAGAGUUAGCAUGACUUACCACGUCUUGCCUACGU